UGGGGAAUAUUGGACAAUGGGCGAAAGCCUGAUCCAGCCAUGCCGCGUGUGUGAAGAAGGUCUUCGGAUUGUAAAGCUCUUUAAGUUGGGAGGAAGGGCAGUAAGCGAAUACCUUGCUGUUUUGACGUUACCGACAGAAUAAGCACCGGCUUACUCUGUGCCAGCAGCCGCGGUAAUACAGAGGGUGCAAGCGUUCAUCGGAAUUACUGGGCGUAAAGCGCGCGUAGGUGGUUCGUUAAGUUGAAUGUGAAAGCCCCGGGCUCAACCUGGGAACUGCAUCCAAAACGGGCGAGCUAGAGUAGGGCAGAGGGGGGUGGAAUUUCCUGUGUAGAGGUGAAAUGCGUAGAUAUAGGAAGGAACACCAGUGGCGAAGGCGGCCACCUGGGCUCAUACUGACGCUGAGGUGCGAAAGCGUGGGGAGCAAACAGG
rnacentral:rRNA from 1 species